UGCAAAACGGACGCCUGCAGCCGCGCGAGCGGGUUAUUAAUAUGGAUGGUGACUGACUGGCUGCCUGCUGUUUAUAGAGCUACAACAGGUGCUGUCAGACAGUCAGGUUUGGUUGUGAGUGUGUGUGUGUUUGCGUGUCGCGCUGGCGUGUAUGAAUGGAUGUUGGCAUGGGGAACGCAGAACACCAGGGGGCGCUGACAAAGGGC